CCUACGGGAGGCAGCAGUGAGGAAUAUUGGUCAAUGGACGAGAGUCUGAACCAGCCAAGUAGCGUGAAGGAUGACUGCCCUAUGGGUUGUAAACUUCUUUUAUAUGGGAAUAAAACGUUCCACGUGUGGGAUUUUGUAUGUACCAUAUGAAUAAGGAUCGGCUAACUCCGUGCCAGCAGCCGCGGUAAUACGGAGGAUCCGAGCGUUAUCCGGAUUUAUUGGGUUUAAAGGGAGCGUAGGUGGAUUGUUAAGUCAGUUGUGAAAGUUUGCGGCUCAACCGUAAAAUUGCAGUUGACACUGGCAGUCUUGAGUACAGUAGAGGUAGGCGGAAUUCGUGGUGUAGCGGUGAAAUGCAUAGAUAUCACGAAGAACUCCGAGUGCGAAGGCAGUUCACUGGACUGCAACUGACACUGAGGCUCGAAAGUGUGGGUAUCAAACAGGAUUAGAUACCCCGGUAGUC
rnacentral:rRNA from 1 species